GCGCGAAAACUAUACAAUGCUGGCAACAGCGAUAAGGGAACCUCGAGUGCCAGGUUACAAAUCUGGCUGUCGUGAUGCCUAAAAAGCAUUUCAUAGCAAGGGCCGGGCAAGACCGGUGCCAGCCGCCGCGGUAACACCGGCGGCUCGAGUGGUAACCGUUAUUAUUGGGUCUAAAGGGUCUGUAGCCGGCCGGAUAAGUCUCUUGAGAAAUCUGGCAGCUUAACUGUCAGGCUUUCAGGAGAUACUGUCUGGCUCGAGGCCGGGAGAGGUGAGAGGUACUUCAGGGGUAGGGGUGAAAUCUUGUAAUCCUUGAAGGACCACCAGUGGCGAAGGCGUCUCACCAGAACGGACCUGACGGCAAGGGACGAAAGCUAGGGGCACGAACC
rnacentral:rRNA from 1 species